GUGGAUUAGAUACCCUGGUAGUCCACGCCGUAAACGUUGGGCACUAGGUGUGGGUCUCAACCAACGAGAUCCGCGCCGUCGCUAACGCAUUAAGUGCCCCGCCUGGGGAGUACGGCCGCAAGGUUAAAACUCAAAGGAAUUGACGGGGGCCCGCACAAGCAGCGGAGCGUGUUGCUUAAUUCGAUGCAACGCGAAGAACCUUACCUGGGCUUGACAUGUACGGAAAAGCCGUAGAGAUACGGUGUCCUUCGGGGUCGUACACAGGUGGUGCACGGUCGUCGCCAGCU
rnacentral:rRNA from 1 species